GGGGGCGACUGGUUUCGACAUGGUAAGUCCAAUACGAAGAGCAGGUCGUGGUCUCCUCGCCACGUUAAACAGGGGUACUGUCAAGUUAAUUGGCAAAACUCAAAACAACAACCUCGCUUUAGCUGCUUAAUUGUAGCCCGAGGUGUCAAACCCUUGCAUUUCCCUGGCAUGGGGGCGAUAUCAUUUUUUAGGGAAUGCCGCUCAAUACGUAGCCAGUAUGAUUGAGUCUAAGCCUGAACUGACUAGAACAGAUUUCGCCUGUCUGUGGGCAGAAUCUGUUCGAAGUUUAAACACUGACUAAGCCUGUAGCGCUUCGUUGCAGAUUUAGUAUGGACCGGAGUUCGAUUCUCCGCGCCUCCACCA
rnacentral:tmRNA from 1 species